AUGACGGCGCAGGCGCUCGCGCCGCCGCUGCCGGAGCCGCACAAGGCAGGGAAGUGGGCGGGCACGCUGCUGGCCGCCGCCAUCUACACGCCGCGGGUCUACUACCUACAGGGCUUCUACGUCAUCUCCUACGGCCUCGGCAUCUACCUCCUCAACCUCCUCAUCGGCUUCCUCUCCCCCAUGGUCGACCCGGAGCUCGAGGCGCUCGACCAGGCCGGCCCCGCGCUCCCCACCCGUAGCAACAACGAGUUCAAGCCCUUCAUCCGCCGCCUCCCCGAGUUCAAGUUCUGGUAUUUACCAGGGUGGUGCGUGGAAGACCUUGUGAAUAUCUUUGAGGUGUUCCUGCCUCAGCUUCUCCUGUACCCUAACCCCUCGGACCCAUGA
rnacentral:rRNA from 1 species